UACGGGGGGGGCAAGCGUUGUUCGGAAUUACUGGGCGUAAAGGGCUCGUAGGUGGCCAACUAAGUCGGACGUGAAAUCCCCAGGCUCAACCUGGGAACUGCGUCCGAUACUGGAUGGCUUGAAUCCGGGAGAGGGAUGCAGAAUUCCAGGUGUAGCGGUGAAAUGCGUAGAUAUCAGGAGGAACACCGGUGGCGAAGGCGGGUCUCUGGGCCGAUACUGACGCUGAGGAGCGAAAGCGUGGGGAGCGAACAGG
rnacentral:rRNA from 1 species